rnacentral:rRNA from 1 species
GUGGGGAAUAUUGGACAAUGGGCGAAAGCCUGAUCCAGCCAUGCCGCGUGUGUGAAGAAGGUCUUCGGAUUGUAAAGCACUUUAAGUUGGGAGGAAGGGCAUUAACCUAAUACGUUAGUGUUUUGACGUUACCGACAGAAUAAGCACCGGCUAACUUCGUGCCAGCAGCCGCGGUAAUACGAAGGGUGCAAGCGUUAAUCGGAAUUACUGGGCGUAAAGCGCGCGUAGGUGGUUUGUUAAGUUGGAUGUGAAAGCCCCGGGCUCAACCUGGGAACUGCAUCCAAAACUGGCAAGCUAGAGUAUGGCAGAGGGUGGUGGAAUUUCCUGUGUAGCGGUGAAAUGCGUAGAUAUAGGAAGGAACACCAGUGGCGAAGGCGACCACCUGGGCUAAUACUGACACUGAGGUGCGAAAGCGUGGGGAGCAAACAGG